rnacentral:rRNA from 1 species
AUUGAACGCUGGCGGCAUGCCUUACACAUGCAAGUCGAACGGCAGCACGGGAGCUUGCCCCUGGUGGCGAGUGGCGAACGGGUGAGUAAUACAUCGGAACGUACCCAGGAGUGGGGGAUAACGUAGCGAAAGUUACGCUAAUACCGCAUAUUCUGUGAGCAGGAAAGCGGGGGAUCGCAAGACCUCGCGCUCUUGGAGCGGCCGAUGUCGGAUUAGCUAGUUGGUGAGGUAAAAGCUCACCAAGGCGACGAUCCGUAGCAGGUCUGAGAGGAUGAUCUGCCACACUGGGACUGAGACACGGCCCAGACUCCUACGGGAGGCAGCAGUGGGGAAUUUUGGACAAUGGGGGCAACCCUGAUCCAGCCAUGCCGCGUGAGUGAAGAAGGUCUUCGGGUUGUAAAGCUCUUUCGGCGGGGAAGAAAUGGCAACGGCUAAUAUCCGUUGUUGAUGACGGUACCCGCAUAAGAAGCACCGGCUAACUACGUGCCAGCCGCCGCAGUAA